GUAUGUAUUUUUCUUUAGAACCAUGUGAUUUGGUUUCGCAAUUCCUUAGCCAAUGAUUUAUCACUGUUUAGGUCACUGAAACAGAAUGCAGAUGUAUUAAGAGCAUUCCGUUUCAUUGUCAUGGAGGCAUAGUUCCGCUGUAACGAUGUAGCCAGAUCGUUGUGUCUAUCUAGUCAAAGGAAGAAGAAAAGAGUUGAAGAAGCAGCCUGAAAAAAAAUGGCUAAAACAUCCACCAGACAAGAGUGAAUUCUACUACCUCGGCAGACUGUUGUCAGGAGACGAGUCAAAAGGUAAUGUAGGGAAUAAGAGAAAAAAGCUAGAUUGCUUUUUUUUUUUUGAAAAAAAAAAAAAAAGUGGAAAGAAUACCCUCUAAGCAAAGAUACAGAUGCAGUGAGAC
rnacentral:lncRNA from 12 species